rnacentral:lncRNA from 1 species
AAUUGAAUCUUAAUCAAACUCUAGGUCAAAUCUUAGAUCAAAUCUCAAUUGAAAUCCUAAUUGAACCUUAACCGAAUUCUAGAUUAGAUCCUAAUGAAAUCUUAAUGAAAUCUUAAAUCCUAAAAAAACCUUGAACAAGUUUUAAAUCAAAUUCUAAGCAAUCUUAGACCAAAUCUGAAACCAAAUCCUAAUCAAAUCCUAAAUCUUAAACAACUCUCAACAAACCUUAUAGCAAAU